GAACUUCCGUUAAUUGAUUAUGACGUGCUUGCACUGAAUGAGAUUUUAACACGAAGUGAGUGGCGGACGGGUGAGUAACACGUGGGUAACCUGCCCAGAAGCAGGGGAUAACACCUGGAAACAGAUGCUAAUACCGUAUAACAGAGAAAACCGCCUGGUUUUCUUUUAAAAGAUGGCUCUGCUAUCACUUCUGGAUGGACCCGCGGCGCAUUAGCUAGUUGGUGAGGUAACGGCUCACCAAGGCGAUGAUGCGUAGCCGACCUGAGAGGGUAAUCGGCCACAUUGGGACUGAGACACGGCCCAGACUCCUACGGGAGGCAGCAGUAGGGAAUCUUCCACAAUGGACGCAAGUCUGAUGGAGCAACGCCGCGUGAGUGAAGAAGGGUUUCGGCUCGUAAAGCUCUGUUGUUAAAGAAGAACGUGGGUGAGAGUAACUGUUCACCCAGUGACGGUAUUUAACCAGAAAGCCACGGCUAACUACGUGCCAGCAGCCGCGGUAAUACGUAGGUGGCAAGCGUUAUCCGGAUUUAUUGGGCGUAAAGCGAGCGCAGGCGGUCUUUUAAGUCUAAUGUGAAAGCCUUCGGCUCAACCGAAGAAGUGCAUUGGAAACUGGGAGACUUGAGUGCAGAA
rnacentral:rRNA from 1 species